CCUACGAUCUCCUUUACAACUUUUUCUUCACUUAAGUUCUAGUUAUUAACCUCAAGAACGCCAGGAGGCACAAAUAGCUCUUUUCCUUUAGUUAAAUAUUUUUCACAUAUUUAGGAUUGGUAAUUUUACCAUGUCUACCUUAUGACUGAAUGCACCUUGCUAGCUCUUCCUUAUUGCGGUAUAGAACUACAAACAAAAUUUUCAUUCCCAUUUUUCACUAAAAUAUAUCACUGAUUAAAUACCUCCUGCUCAUGCUUCUCUCCCUCCACUAACUCAUUAGUAAAUAUAUAGUGUUUUGAUUUUAUAACAUACUACUAGUAUCGCCAAUAAAUCUUUUCUGACUAUAAGAAUAUUACUCCAUAAAUCAUGGGAACAUCGGCAUUACGGGAGUAUUAAUAUCAAAAUAAUGUUAUUAAAGAGGUUAUUAUCUGAUCUCAAUGUAUCAAUAAUUUUACAUAGUUCCUUUAUUAUGGUCAAUUUGCCACUGUCAGGAAAGUCAAUUAAAUUGAUAAUGAUUGUCUUCAUAACGAAUAUUAAUAAUA